rnacentral:rRNA from 1 species
AACGAACGCUGGCGGCAUGCCUAACACAUGCAAGUCGAACGAGACCUUCGGGUCUAGUGGCGCAUGGGUGCGUAACGCGUCGGAACCUUCCCUUAUGUUUGGAAUACCUCUCCGAAAGGGGUGCUAAUGCCGGAUAAUGUCUUCUAACCAAAGAUAUAUCGAAUUUGGAUGGGCCGGCGUUGGAUUAGCUUGUUGGUAGGGUAAAAGCCUACCAAGGGGACGAUCCAUAGCUGGGAAGUGAGGAAGCUCAGCGACUCUGAGACUAAGAAGCGGCCCAGAAUCUUACGGGAGGGAGCAGUGCGGGAUAUAGCAAAAUGGGGGGAAGCAUGAUGGAGUUCGGCUGGGAGAGCGAUGAUGGUCGUAGAGAAGUAAAGCUCUUUUACCCGGGAUGAUAAUGACAGUACCGGGAGAAUAAGCUCCGGCUAACUACGUG